UACAGAGGGGGCGAGCGUUGUUCGGAAUUACUGGGCGUAAAGGGCGCGUAGGCGGCCUGCUAUGUCGAACGUGAAAUCCCUGGGCUCAACCCAGGAACUGCGUCCGAAACUGGCAGGCUUGAAUCCGGGAGAGGGAUGUGGAAUUCCAGGUGUAGCGGUGAAAUGCGUAGAUAUCAAGAGGAACACCUGCGGCGAAGGCGGGUUGCUGGGCUGACACUGACGCUGAUGCGCGAAAGCCAGGGGAGCGAACGGG
rnacentral:rRNA from 1 species